rnacentral:rRNA from 1 species
ACCCGCUGAACUUAAGCAUAUCAAUAAGCGGAGGAAAAGAAACCAACAGGGAUUGCCCUAGUAACGGCGAGUGAAGCGGCAACAGCUCAAAUUUGAAAUCUGGCCCCAGGCCCGAGUUGUAAUUUGUAGAGGAUGCUUUUGGUGCGGUACUUUCCGAGUUCCCUGGAACGGGACGCCUUAGAGGGUGAGAGCCCCGUACGGUUGGAUACCUAGCCUCUGUAAAGCUCCUUCGACGAGUCGAGUAGUUUGGGAAUGCUGCUCAAAAUGGGAGGUAAAUUUCUUCUAAAGCUAAAUACCGGCCAGAGACCGAUAGCGCACAAGUAGAGUGAUCGAAAGAUGAAAAGCACUUUGAAAAGAGGGUUAAAUAGCACGUGAAAUUGUUGAAAGGGAAGGACUUAUGACCAGACUUUUUCUAGGCGGAUCAUCCGGUGUUCUCACCGGUGCACUUCGCCUAGUUAAGGCCAGCAUCGGUUUCCGUAGAGGGAUAAAAGCAGUAGGAAUGUGGCUCCCUCGGGAGUGUUAUAACCUAUUGUAUAAUACCUUUAUGGGGACCGAGGUUCGCGCUUCGGCAAGGAUGCUGGCAUAAUGGUCAUCAGUCACCCGUCUUGAAACACGG